rnacentral:rRNA from 1 species
UGGCUCAGGACGAACGCUGGCGGCAUGCUUAACACAUGCAAGUCUAGGGGCACUUCGGUGUCACUGGCGCACGGGUGAGUAACACGUAGGUUAUCUGCCCCUAUCACAGACACAACCCCGGGAAACCGGGGCUAAUAUCUGAUGAGGUCCACGGAUCAAAGCUUCGGCGGAUAGGGAUGAGCCUGCGGCUGAUUAGCUAGUUGGUGGGGUAAUGGCCCACCAAGGCAACGAUCAGUAGCUGGUCUGAGAGGACGAACAGCCACACUGGAACUGAGACACGGUCCAGACUCCUACGGGAGGCAGCAGUGAGGAAUAUUGGUCAAUGGGCGCAAGCCUGAACCAGCAAUGCCGCGUGUGGGAUGACGGCGCUUUGCGUUGUAAACCACUGUCGGACGGGACGAAAGGGAGCCUUUGGCUCCUGGGACGGUACCGUCAAAGGAAGGGUCGGCUAACUACGUGCCAGCAGCCGCGGUAAUACGUAGGACCCAAGCGUUGUCCGGAUUCACUGGGUAUAAAGGGUGCGUAGGCGGUCUUGUGCGUCAGAGGUGAAAUCUCCGGGCUUAACCCGGAGGGUGCCUUUGACACGGCAGGACUUGAGUGCAGGAGAGGAUGAUGGAAUUCCUGGUGUAGCGGUGAAAUGCGUAGAUAUCAGGAGGAACACCGGUGGCGAAGGCGGUCAUCUGGUCUGCAACUGACGCUGAGGCACGAAAGCGCGGGGAUCAAACAGGAUUAGAUACCCUGGUAGUCCGCGCCCUAAACGAUGUAUGCUUGGUGUUGGGCCCGCAAGGGUUCAGUGCCGUAGGGAAUCUGAUAAGCAUACCACCUGGGGAGUACGAUCGCAAGGUUGAAACUCAAAG